rnacentral:rRNA from 1 species
UAAGCCAUGCGAGUCGAGAGGUUCAAGACCUCGGCGUACUGCUCAGUAACACGUGGACAAUCUGCCCUGAAGUGGAGAAUAAUCCCGGGAAACUGGGGGUAAUACUCCAUAGUUCGUUAUUACUGGAAUGUUUUUCGAACGAAAGAUCCGUCGCUUCAGGAUGAGUCUGCGGCCGAUUAGGUAGUUGUUGGGGUAAUUGCCCAACAAGCCUGUAAUCGGUACGGGUUGUGGGAGCAAGAGCCCGGAGAUGGAUUCUGAGACACGAAUCCAGGCCCUACGGGGCGCAGCAGGCGCGAAAACUUUACCAUGCGGGCAACCGUGAUAAGGAAACCCCGAGUGCCAGCACAGGCUGGCUGUCCGCCAGUUUAAACAACUGGCGAAGAAAGGGCCGGGCAAGACCGGUGCCAGCCGCCGCGGUAACACCGGCGGCCCGAGUGGUGACCGUUAUUAUUGGGUCUAAAGGGUCCGUAGCCGGUUUGGUCAGUCCUCCGGGAAAUCUGAUAGCUUAACUGUUAGGCUUUCGGGGGAUACUGCCAGGCUUGGAACCGGGAGAGGUAAGAGGUACUACAGGGGUAGGAGUGAAAUCUUGUAAUCCCUGUGAGACCACCUGUGGCGAAGGCGUCUUACCAGAACGGGUUCGACGGUGAGGGACGAAAGCUGGGGGCACGAACCGGAUUAGAUACCCGGGUAGUCCCAGCCGUAAACUAUGCUCGCUAGGUGUCAGGCAUGGCGCGACCGUGUCUGGUGCCGCAGGGAAGCCGUGAAGCGAGCCACCUGGGAAGUACGGCCGCAAGGCUGAAACUUAAAGGAAUUGGCGGGGGAGCACAACAACGGGUGGAGCCUGCGGUUUAAUUGGACUCAACGCCGGACAACUCACCGGGGACGACAGCAAUAUGUAGGCCAGGCUGAAGACCUUGCCUGAAUCGCUGAGAGGAGGUGCAUGGCCGUCGCCAGUUCGUACUGUGAAGCAUCCUGUUAAGUCAGGCAACGAGCGAGACCCA